UUGCUCUCUGGGUGGCGAGUGGCGGACGGGUGAGGAAUACAUCGGAAUCUACCUUUUCGUGGGGGAUAACGUAGGGAAACUUACGCUAAUACCGCAUACGACCUUCGGGUGAAAGCAGGGGACCUUCGGGCCUUGCGCGGAUAGAUGAGCCGAUGUCGGAUUAGCUAGUUGGCGGGGUAAAGGCCCACCAAGGCGACGAUCCGUAGCUGGUCUGAGAGGAUGAUCAGCCACACUGGAACUGAGACACGGUCCAGACUCCUACGGGAGGCAGCAGUGGGGAAUAUUGGACAAUGGGCGCAAGCCUGAUCCAGCCAUACCGCGUGGGUGAAGAAGGCCUUCGGGUUGUAAAGCCCUUUUGUUGGGAAAGAAAAGCAGCCAGUUAAUACCUGGUUGUUCUGACGGUACCCAAAGAAUAAGCACCGGCUAACUUCGUGCCAGCAGCCGCGGUAAUACGAAGGGUGCAAGCGUUACUCGGAAUUACUGGGCGUAAAGCGUGCGUAGGUGGUUGUUUAAGUCUGUUGUGAAAGCCCUGGGCUCAACCUGGGAAUUGCAGUGGAUACUGGGCGACUAGAGUGUGGUAGAGGGUAGUGGAAUUCCUGGUGUAGCAGUGAAAUGCGUAGAGAUCAGGAGGAACAUCCAUGGCGAAGGCAGCUACCUGGACCAACACUGACACUGAGGCACGAAAGCGUGGGGAGCAAACAGGAUUAGAUAC
rnacentral:rRNA from 1 species